CCUACGGGAGGCAGCAGUGAGGAAUAUUGGUCAAUGGGCGCGAGCCUGAACCAGCCAAGUCGCGUGAGGGAGGACGGGCCUACGGGUUGUAAACCUCUUUUGCCGGGGAGCAACGGGCGUCACGUGUGGGCCACUGAGAGUACCCGGAGAAAAAGCAUCGGCUAACUCCGUGCCCGCAGCCGCGGUAAUACGGAGGAUUCGAGCGUUAUCCGGAUUUAUUGGGUUAAAAGGGUGCGUAGGCGGAUUGUUAAGUGAGUGGUCAAAUUGAGUGGCUCAACCCCUUCCCGCCAUUGAAACUGGCGAUCUUGAGUGGAAGAGAAGUAUGCGGAAUGCGUGGGGUAGCGGUGAAAUGCAUAGAUAUAACGCAGAACCCCGAUGGCGAAGGCAGCAUGCUGGCUUCCGACUGACGCUGAAGCACGAAAGCGUGGGGAUCGAACAGGAUUAGAUACCCUGGUAGUC
rnacentral:rRNA from 1 species